GAUGAACGUUGGCGGCGUGCCUAACACAUGCAAGUCGAACGCUGGUAGCAAUAUCAGAGUGGCGCACGGGUGAGUAACACGUAGCUUACCUACCUCAAAGCGCGGGAUAACGUUCCGAAAGGAAUGCUAAUACCGCAUAAGCUCCCGGUCUGUAGAGGGCUGAGAGAAAAGGGCAACUCACUUUGAGAUGGGGGCUGCGGCCCAUCAG
rnacentral:rRNA from 1 species